rnacentral:rRNA from 1 species
AUGGGCCUGCGACGGCGCCGCACCUAUCGCCCCAAACCUACCACGCCAUGGAUGACGAUGCCUGUCCGGUGGUCCGAUCUCCCCGACGAUCUCCUCCCCCUGAUCUACGUCAAGGUCGACAGCCUGCUCCAUCGCGUCCGCUUUGCUGCAGUGUGCAGAUCGUGGCGAGCGGCUGCGAUCAUGUCGCGUCAGGCGGCACCGCCCGUCCUCCCAUGGCUCAUCUUCUCCUCAGAUGGUGGCAAGUCGAGGCGCGCAUACUGCCCUGAGGAAGGUGGGAUUUUGCGCAUCCGGAUCCGAAGGCAAGUGCUCACCGGCAAGCGGUUCGUGGGAGCUCACGACGGGGGCUGGGUCGCUGCAAUAGGAGGCGAAUCGAAGCUUGUAAUCGUGAACCUCUUCUCGGGCACGGAGGUAUCCUUACCUGCAAGGAACGCAUACCCUACAUACAAGAUUGUCUUCUCGGAAUCCCCCGCCUCAAGUGGUUGCAUCCUUGCCGCCAUCAUGUCUCAAUACGGCGUCGCCGUAUGCCAGAUUGGUUGUCCGAACGGCACGUGGACGGUCAAACAAUUGGAUGGAUUAUUAUGCCUUAUGGACAUUGUAUUCUACAAUGGACACCUCUACGGCAUCACUUCCUUCGAGCAACUUCUCAAGUUCAAAAUCGGGGUGAACAAAGACGGCGUGCUAGCGUUCAUUGGUGAACCGCACCAACUCCAAAUCCGAAAGUGCAGCGGUCCUCCGGCGUAUCGACGCUACAUCAUUGAACUGCAAGGCAAGCUGGUGAUGGUGGCGAGGAGCUACUCACGACGCAUCAACUCUGAGCCUAUCUUCAAGGUGUUUGAGCUUGCUGACAAAGCGACUACAGAAUACACUCAUCAGUGGGAGGAGUUAAUGACCUUGGGUGAUUAUGCCUUAUUUUUGGGGGCAAAGUCAUCCAAGGCGGUGUACGUGCCAGCGUCUGGGCACGACGGAGUGCAGAGAAGUUGCAUCUAUGCUGACGACAUGAAAUACUUGACGCAAUUGGACGGUCAUGGUGAUUGUGUAUAUCCUGUGCAAGAUAAAAGCAGUCACCACGCCAGACACAUGAUCAAAUCAGCAGGUUCGUAUGUAGCUGCCGGUGCUGAUACAAGUGGCAUGUGGGUUUUCCCUCCGAAUUUCUGGGCGGCCAAUAGUAGACAAGCGCGACAUCUU